UAUGAAAAAAUAUUUUAUUAAAAGUACAGGUUGGACUAUUGUACUGAGAAGGAUUCUGCUGUUGCAAAUCAUUUAGUCUUUAGGGGUUUGUGUGCUGUGGUAUUCAUGGUUGAAAAUCAGUUGUGAUGUGAAAGAAAAAUGGCUGCUAAGGAUUUGGCAUAUACAGUUCAGAGACUGCAGGAAGGGACUGAGCUUAGUAAAUUACUAUAAUAAAACUUCAUGGCAUACCUAUAUAGUCUUAGUGAUAAUUGAAUGUGACUAUGUUGACAUAGUAUAGCUGCAUUAAGAUAAUUAUCUUUUUGAUGUAUAUUAAAUGCUUUUGGUUGAAAAUAAUUUAUUUUAUUUAUUUUUGAAAAUACACACCUUUUUUUAUUUUUUGUAUCUACUUAAUAUUUAGUUUUAAAUUUAAUCUACAUAUUUCAAAGUCUGGGUCCAUACUUUAAUAAGCCCAUAACUGAAACAAAUUUAAUUUACCUUCAACAAUGUAAAUUUAAAUGCAAAGGUCAGUUUUGCAUCAAAACAUGCAGCCUCUUCAAAUUUUAUCUUGAUUUCAUUUUUUUCAGAAGCUUUUUUGGAAUGGUUUCCUGUUAAAGGGAACUUUUUCCUCAUCACUGUCACCACAUUGAUUCCCAAUAGGAGGCAUUGCUUCAACUUACUUUUAUCAAAUAUAAAUAAAUGGUUCAGUUUUGGCUUUGUUUGGAAGUCUUUCUGUAAAAAGGAAGUUCUUCUUUUCGGAAAAUCUUCCCGUUAAUCCCUUUUUGGCCAUAAUUCUAACUGGGCCACCUGGUAUUUUUUUUGAUUUUAUGGCUGUAAAAUUCUCCAAAAAUGUGCAUUGAGUUUGUAUUUUUGCCCUUUUUUUCCAGAAAACUUCAGCUUUUAGUAUCUGCAAACAAAACGGAAUUGAAAUUUGAAGUUUAAUUGUUGAACAAUAACUUCAAGAAGACGGGGGCAAACAAUUUCAACUUAACUAUAUUACAUAAAUGCAGAGAAAACUGAAGCCUCGCUUCAGGCAUAAAAAUUUACAAGUUUUUAUGCCUGUUUUUAUUAAAUCUUUUCAGGAUUUUCCUUUUUUGUGGUAGACUCUAAAGCAGUUCCUCUCCAGCUGGCAUCAGUGUAAGUGUAAAUCACUUUUUACCAAAAGUGAUU